CUGUUCCUUUUUCCUAUGCAUAUACUUCUUUGAGGGUCAGGCCUAAAGAGGUGUAAGGCAUGGGAAAAUGGGGCAG
rnacentral:pre_miRNA from 1 species